GUGUUGUUUGUUAAGGGCACACGGUGGAUGCCUUGGCAUUAUGAGCCGAUGAAGGACGUGUAAGGCCGCGAUAGGCCUCGGGGAGUUGCCAAUAGAGCGUUGAUCCGAGGGUGUCCGAAUGGGGAAACCUGGCCAUGGUUAUGUGUGGUUACCCAUCAGUGAAUUCAUAGCUGGUGUGGGGGUGACGCGGGGAAGUGAAACAUCUCAGUAC
rnacentral:rRNA from 1 species